UGUCUGUCUCUGAUGAAAAUAAAUAUUUAAUGAAAGGAGAGUCAGAACUCCAGCAAAUCUUUUGAAUUCAAAACCUUUUUAUUAAUAUUUUUUUUCAGGUCCAAGGGCCAGUACAUCAAGAGCCAGACCAGUGAAAACAUUUGUGCCAGUCACUGAGGAGGAAGAAUCAGAGACAAGGACCAGUGGAUUGGAAUCCACUCCAGUUUUCAGCAUUGAUGAAGAAAUAGAACAACCUCAAUUCAUCAGGGCAUGGACUACAAGAUGUCGAAAGCGUUCCACAGGGAUCCACAUGUUGACUCAAAUGCCUCAAAUGCAAAUAUUUUGUUUUGCCCAUUCACCUUCUGAAUGGCACACAUCCAUGUCUCAAUUGUCUCAAGGCUUUAACAUGCUCCUUUAACCUGUCUCCUCCCCUUUUACCUACACUGAAGUGGAUUUAACAAGUGACAUCAAUAAUGGAUUAUAGGUUUCAUCUCGUCAGUUUGUCAGGGAAAGAGAAUGUUUUGUACGCUCAGUGUGUUUUUGCUGUUUUAAGAACAUUCUGAAUUUCUAUUCGACAAUGGGAUCAAGUUCUAUUGUUUGAUAUUCCAUUUUAGACCUAAUACUCAACAUUUUGGUCUGCCCUGUAAUUUAAUUUACUGUAGAAUCAAAGCUGAGGUUUUUGUCUUGUCACACCAUAGAAUCUGCAGAGAUAUAUUUGCUGUCACCUACUUACGUUUCUUAAUUGAAUCCUUUUCCCAUUUUUAUUGUGUUUACAAAAAAGCCAUACUUCGUUGAGAAGUUAACAGCUUUACUGCGAUGUCUCUACACAUGUAAAGUUCCCCUUGCACAACAGAAAGUCCAUGAUCGAGGAAUUCUACACACCCCUUCCUCCAACCACAGCCAUCUCUCUCCACAGUGAUGGCAAAUAUGCACUUCAUAUUGUGUGUUUUAUAUAUUUUUUGCGGCUGAAUGUAAUAUAUCAAAGUUCAAAUGUAUUCUUGUUUAUUGUAGUAUAACAUAUUGUCCCUAGAUAGUUUUUUACCAUUGCACCAGAGGUGAUAUUGCAGUUGCCUGACAAGCACCAACCAUGUUGGCCAUGGGAAACAUAAAGUCCUCGUAGGAAUAAAUGGUAUGUGCAAUAUCUACAAGAACCAAACAAUGAUGUAGCAAUGACAUUUAUUCCUAGUAAAAUUCCUGUAUUAGGUCAGUUAGGAUCA